rnacentral:rRNA from 1 species
GAUGAACGCUGGCGGCGUGCCUAAUACAUGCAAGUCGAGCGAACGGACGAGAAGCUUGCUUCUCUGAUGUUAGCGGCGGACGGGUGAGUAACACGUGGAUAACCUACCUAUCAGACUGGGAUAACUUCGGGAAACCGGAACUAAUACCGGAUGAUAUUUUGAACCGCAUUGUUCAAAAGUGAAAGACGGUCUUGCUGUCACUUAUAGAUGGAUCCGCGCUGCAUUAGCUAGUUGGUAAGGUAACGGCUUACCAAGGCAACGAUGCAUAGCCGACCUGAGAGGGUGAUCGGCCACACGGGAACUGAGACACGGUCCAGACUCCUGCGGGAGGCAGCAGUAGGGAAUCUUCCGCAAAGGGCGAAAGCCUGACGGAGCAACGCCGCGUGAGUGAUGAAGGUCUUCGGAUCGGAAAACUCUGUUAUUAGGGAAGAACAUAUGUGUAAGUAACUGUGCACAUCUUGACGGUACCUAAUCAGAAAGCCACGGCUAACUACGUG